rnacentral:lncRNA from 1 species
GCAGUUCCUAGUUUUACAGAUAGGAUGGGUGCCCCCUCACCUCCACCGCCGCCUCCUCUCUUCCGCCUCUUUCACUUCCACCGUCGUAUUUUAAUUGCAACCCCAAUUGUCUUCCACAGCUCCGACGAAGCUACGCCGCCUGAAACCAGAGCUUCAUGUCGUUGUCUACCUCCUCUGCCGUCCUGUUUUGACCUCGGCCCAUCCCCUCCAUGUUCCCGCCUUUUCAUGUCCACCUCUUCCGUAAUCUCCACCGUCAUUAUUACUCCCAAAAUCGAUAACAAGCACAGAUCUGGAGGUUUCGCUGACUCCGGAGAUUUUCACCAUUUUUUGCAACACAUAUCACUAAAUUCGAAAGAGGAUAUCACUAAAUAGAAUUGGGAAUAUCAAUCACUUGUAUUAAUUUCUAGUUUUUAUUUUAAAAAUAGUUUCUAUUUGAUCAUGAGUCUAUAUAUAUAUUUCAAUUUUAUUAAUUUAAGAAUAUUUGUCGACGUCAAAUUUUGCUGUUUAGCUGUCUAUUUUAUUUAUAAUGUGAAAACAUAAUCACCAGAUAGAUAGAAUCCCUUGAUACAUGGAUUCAACCUCAAAUCCUCAAUAUACCGUAUAGUUUAAUUCUUUUGACGAAGAUAAACUUUUUGGUAAACCAUGUAGAUAUCCAAUUAUCCAGCCGAGUUUUCACUCGAUUUGUGUUAUUCAAUUCACCGGCAGCUACAUAAUCGCAUCUUCUAGUUUAGGUUUAUAUCUUAAGAUAAUAAGAUCGCAUGAUGUCAGUUUAUUCGCGGCGGAUGCUGUCUAGACUCUUAUAAAUAAUAUUAUUUUAUCACAUAAAUUUAAAUAUACAAAUAGUAAAUUUAAAUUUUUAUGAUUUUAUCGUAUUUUGAAAUUAUAAAAUACUAUUUUGUGUUAAAAAAUAUAUUAUAUGGAGCAUACAGUUAUGGUAGUAAAUACAUUUUCUUAAAAUUAAAACAGUUUUUAGUACUCCUUCCCUUUCAUUCAUAUAUGGUUAUUCUCAAUUUUUGACACGCAUUUUUAAUGUAUAUAAAAUAUAGUUUCAUAAUACCCGUUUAACAUUUUCUUUUUCUGAAUAACAUUAUGCAUGUAGAACCUCUUUUCCAAAAACAACGCACUAUGAUAGAUGAAAUAAUUAAUAAACAUGUAUGGAUUAUAUUUCUAUUGAUUAUGUUAAAUAAGUAUUUUUUUAUUAAAUAUUAAAUUAGUUCUUAAAAGUUAAAUUCAUCAGAAACAAAUUCAAUAUUAAAUUAGUUUUUAAAAGUUAAAUUCAUCAGAAACAAAUUCAGAGUUAAUCAUAUUUUGUAAUCCUUGAUUUUGACCCAGACACACAGGAGUAUAUCCUAGCUAUUUAAAAACCCUAAUGAGAGUCGACGCCAUUUAUAACUAUCAUCUAUCCUUCAUCACCCCUCCUUCUAUCAAAUCCACAUCCAUCUCAUCCCGUUUUUUCCAUUUCUAAAUCUUUAAUUUCUAUUAUAAUAAUUUUCAAUAAAAUCGAAAUCUAAAUCUUUUUAGGUGUGAUCUUGUUACCGUACCCAUCUUUUUGGGUUGUUGCUUGCCCCCAAUUUGAGGAUGUAUAUCUUGUUGCGUUUUUUAUUCGUUGUCAUGUUGCGUUUAGAAUGAUUUCUACGGUGUAUUGAGAGAUCUGGGCAACCCGCUUCAAAUCUGGAAUUGUGGUACUUAUCGCGAAAGCUCACCUGGCACAAAUUGUUCAAUAUAUGGGGCAUCUUUACCCAGUACCCCCAACCUCAGUUGGUGUCACUGAUGGAUAUGAACACUGGUCUAUCACCGAUUUUUUAUGUGCGCAGGUCAAUUGUGAUUCUACGAUUUUCAGUGAUGUUGGUGUCGACUGGAUUGCUCGAGAAACUUUUGUAAUCAUUUUUAUUAUCAAGAAUAUUUAUAUUUUAUCGGUUAAGCAAUCUUGAAAACAAAGCGGCUAUUUGUUUAGCUCGAUUUUUGUUUCACAAUCAGGUUGUAAUUGUCGGUUUGGGGAUUUGUCCCGACUGGUGUUCGUAUGUUCUAUGUUUAAUAAAAUCUUAUUGUUCGUCAAAAAAAAAC